UCCUGGGGACAGCUCACGGUGACAAACCAACCUACUACACUGAUGUCCCCAAGAUCAUAUACGCAACGAGGACACAUUCUCAGCUUACACAGGUUAUUAAUGAGUUAAAGAACACUUCAUACAGCCCAAAGGUGUGUGUGCUGG